GACAUGAACCGGUCUUGGAAC
rnacentral:siRNA from 1 species